AACCCGGGUGGGGUAGCCGUAGCGAAAGCGAGUCUGAACAGGGCGGUUGAGUCGCAUGCUGUGGACCCGAAGCGGGGUGAUCUACCCAUGGCCAGGGUGAAGCGGAGGUAAGACUUCGUGGAGGCCCGAACCCACCAGGGUUGAAAACCUGGGGGAUGAGCUGUGGGUAGGGGUGAAAGGCCAAUCAAACUCCGUGAUAGCUGGUUCUCCCCGAAAUGCAUUUAGGUGCAGCGUCGUGUGGUGCUCCCCGGAGGUAGAGCUACUGUUUGGCUGAUGGGCCCGACAAGGUUACUGAGGUCAGAUAAACUCCGAAUGCCGGUGGAGCCGAGUGCGGCAGUGAGACUGCGGGGGAUAAGCUUCGUGGUCGAGAGGGAAACAGCCCAGAUCAUCAGCUAAGGCCCCUAAGGGUGUGCUAAGUGGGAAAGGUUGUGGAGUUGCUGAGACAACCAGGAGGUUGGCUUAGAAGCAGCCAUCCUUGAAAGAGUGCGUAAUAGCUCACUGGUCAAGUGAUUCUGCGCCGAUAAUGUAGCGGGGCUGAAGUACACCGCCGAAGCUGUGGGGCCGGCACGUUGUGUGUCGGUUGGUAGGGGAGCGUCGUGCAUCCGGUGAAGCUGCGGGGUGACCUUGUGGUGGAGGGUGUGCGAGUGAGAAUGCAGGCAUGAGUAGCGAUACCGGAGUGGGAAACUCCGGCGCCGAUUGACUAAGGGUUCCUGGGGCAGGUUGAUCCGCCCAGGGUGAGUCUGGACCUAAGGCGAGGCCGACAGGCGUAGUCGAUGGGCAACGGGUUGAUAUUCCCGUACCCGUGCGCGUGCGCCCAUGCUGAUAGCCCUGAUGCUGACCAUGCCGGGUGCUUGUGCCGCUUUCGGGCGGUGCGGGUGGCCUGGUCUGGGACCCGAGGGGUGUGUAGGCAAGUGAUGGGGUGACGCAGUGGGGUAGCCCUACCCGGCGGUGGUUGUCCGGGGGUAAGCGUGUAGCCCGGGGUGGUGGUAAAUCCCUGCCCUGUUAUGUGGGUGAGGCGUGAUGCCGAGCCGUUUUCGGCGAAGUGGGUGAUCCCGUGCUGUCGAGAAAAGCCUCUAGCGAGUGCGUGUGCGGCCAGUACCCGAAACCGACGCAGGUGGUCAGGUAGAGUAUACCGAGGCGUUCGGGUGAUCCGUGGUUAAGGAACUCGGCAAAUUGUCCCCGUAACUUCGGGAGAAGGGGAGCCCUGUCCGGUGAUCAGGUUUUCCCUGUGAGCUGGGUGGGGUCGCAGAUACCAGGGGGAAGCGACUGUUUAUUAAAAACACAGGUCCGUGCGAAGUCGUAAGACGCUGUAUACGGACUGACGCCUGCCCGGUGCUGGAACGUUAAGAGGACCGGUCAGCAGGCUUUUGUGCCUGUGCCGCUGGGAAUCUAAGCGCCAGUAAACGGCGGUGGUAACUAUAACCAUCCUAAGGUAGCGAAAUUCCUUGUCGGGUAAGUUCCGACCUGCACGAAUGGCGUAACGACUUCCCCGCU
rnacentral:rRNA from 1 species